GGAAGUUUGGGUGAGUGGCUGAAACCACCAGUUUGCUAAACUGACGUGCGGGUUACCGUACCGGGGGUUCGAAUCCCCCAGCUUCCGCCA
rnacentral:tRNA from 1 species